CAACAACAACAACAUAUACCUGUGCUGUGAUAGCCAACAUAAUGCUGACAGCUUCCCCACUGCUUAUGGCACAUGGGCUCUGAGAAAAGGCCAAAAAUGUCUUCCUUCAAAUUCAGACAUUCUGGGUGAGAGGGCCAGGAGAAUGCCUGUGCCACUGUUGUGAAUUGCCGUGGAUUUUUAAAAACUUAGUUUUUUUAAAAAAAGAGAUUUUUUUAUAUAUUUUUUAAAAAUGUAAGAUUAAAAAACUUUUCUAACCACCAGGGCAUUUUUCUGGCCACCUUGUUCAAAAUGCCUAGCUCAGAAGAGGAUGCCCAUAGCCCAGGCAAGAUAGGGAGGCAGUUGGUGGAGGCAAGCAAGUAGCCAACAGCCGUUCAUGGGAGCCAAGCAUGGAAGGUUACACAACCUUCAGGCCCGGCAGUAAGUGAGCGGCAGGUCAGGUGGGUGACAAGCCCUUGAAUCAUCAUGCAUUAGGUCUGCUCAUGCAAUUCAGUUCUCUUCUAGACCAACCAUAAUUGAUCACGAUACAAUGAUUCCUAGAUUGUGCUCUUUCAUAAUACACAAUGCUCCCCGAUGGGGGGAAAAGUCCCUCUGUACAGAAAACUAGUGUGUCAUGGAGGAAGCUAGAUUAGAACCUUUCUCAUUUGACAUCCACCUUUCUAUGUGCCAGGAUUUUAUUUUAUUUUUUGUACAGGAAAACAUUCCCACUGUGCAAUGAUUGCGUAAGAUGGCACAGUGGGAAAUGUAUUCAUCUGUAUCUGUUCUAAUUCUCUCCAUAAUAUGUGCAUCAUUCCCUGAAGGAUCUUAUUCAGUAAAAGAUUUCUCUCUCUUCAUCCUACUCUCCCAUUAAAAUAAUUGUCUUCCCUCUUACCACCCAUUCAUUACGUUAAUAUAAUACUGCCCUCAGGAAAGCUAAUUUUGAGAAAUACCAAUUUAACAUAUGAAAUGUUCCAGGAAAUUCAUGAUUGUUAUUAUUAUUAUUAUUGCCCCCACUUUUUAAAAAAAAUAAAAUAAAUUCAAGACAAAGUUAUAGCUCCUCUUUUCUAACUUACAUGAGGGUGGUUAUCCUGGUUCAAAACCUUUCAUUUUCAGUUCCCUUGAGGAUUUGCUCAUAGCCUGGAAAGGACAGAGUGCUCCAAAAUGAUUGUAGAUAUAUUAUGUGCUAUGCUUUUGAGGAACUUGAUCACUGACAAGAAUAUGGAAGUCAAAAAUUGGUGGCUAUGUUGGAAUCAAGUGCUCCAUGUAAUGUCCGCUAAUCAAGUCUGUUAAUGUAUUCUUUUUUGGGGGGGAGGUCUUCAAAUAGAUUAAGGUCUCGUCCCAAACCAUCAAGCCACCACACUUGGGAAGCAGGAGGGCUGAGCAGGCAGAUGUUUCUGUCCAUUCAUCCCAAAACAGUCCAGCUGGCUUCCACCUCUGUUUUCCUCCUCUGGAAUAACUCUCUGCUCCACCCACUGAAGUGUGGGUGGAAGUCAUGCCAGUGGAAUUGCCACUGGCAGUAAUCCACAGAAAGCCCUCAAGAAAUCUCCACUGGAUCCUGAUCCCAACCUACUGCCAUCACUUGAUGCCAUCAAGCCCAAUUGCUAUGGCAACUUGAGGUGGACAUAGCACAAAGCAAGAUUUCGCUUGUCCCCCCACCAGCUUCCACCCUGGCCUGCUUUUUGUCCUGCCCCACUGCUGCCAGGUGGGGAUCAGUCCCUCCUGCCCAUUGCAGUUGUUUUUAAAUAUGCACAGGAGUUCAUUUCUACAGAUAAUAAUAAUAAAAAUAUUAUUUAUCCCCCACCCAUUUGCAAGUUCUCUCAGAUUUACCUUUUUCCUAACAUGAAGAGUGUUCUGUUAUUGGGUUAUUAAUGCCUCUUUAGCCAAAAUAUCUCUGAAUACUCUCCUUUUUCCAUCCCCUCCUACAGUUUUCACACUUCUCCAGCAUAAAUUCAGAUAUUUUCUUUUCCUUCAGAAUGCUCCAAACACAAACACACUUGCUCUCCCACUAAGGAACAGAUUUUCUUUCUACCAGGCUAACAAUAACAACAACAAAAAUAUUUUGUUUAAUUCAGGACGGCUAAUUAACCUUUUUGAGGUAGUUUGGACAUCUGAGCCAAUGUGCUCUGAGCGCUAUUUUAAAUAACGUUCUCCCUUGACCGUUUCCUUUCUGUUAAUAUAUUAAUUCCUAGAAUAUCAUGUCUACUUCUUCUUUGGGCAUCUUUUCGAAGAAAUUCCCAGAAUGGUGGAAAGGAAGGGGUUUGAUGGGCUGUGAUCUUAUGCUCACCUAUGUGAGAGUAAGCUCCCCUGAACUUAGUGAACUACAUCUGACUAAGCAUUCUGGACAGGACUGGAAAAGAAGUUGAACAGAAGCAUCUCACUGAGAUAAUACAUUAGGUUCCUGCAGUUGUGUUGCUGUUGUUUACCAGGAGUGAGAGGAGUGAGAUGGCAGGAAGGUCAGCGUAGUGCAAACACAGAAGCAGAAAUACCCGAGAUGCCUGCACCAGUUUGUUUGCACUGUAUUGACCACCUGCUCUCCCUUCUGAUAAGCAACAGCAACUCCUCUGCCAGGAAGCCAGUGCAGCAAGUGACCUGGCAAGUCUAGUGAUCUGCUGAAGUCUGUUCUCCAAUCUCUCAGACUCCACCCCCCCUGUAAAAGAGGUUUCCAUUUUUCUGACCCUUCCCUAGAGUACUUUAGAACUUAGGUGGGUGUGAUGUAUCACGCUUACCUUACUAUCGUGAGGUGCCUAAGGGUGGUGUAAGUGUCUUUUUCCUUUCCAGUAAACACUUCUCCAGCACCCUGCAGCCUCCCUGGAUGCCCGUCUUUCACGAUCUGAAAACGCCCCAUGAAAACAGCGGCCUCGUGACAUUUUGCCCUGGGCUUAAACUGAAGUCUGGGCACCUGGGAAGACCACAGAGUGCAGAUGUGAUAGGAAUUUUAUGGUCUUAGAUAUAUGGUAAUGUUCAUAUGUGUACCAACCAAGCACGUACAUAGAUCAGCACAGGAAGACCAACCUGGAACCAUUUUGAUUACUAAACUGAGCAAAUGUUUUCUCUGUAAGGUCAAAGUGGGAAACCUCCCCAUUGUCUCUUUCCUCACAAAUCCUGUCUUAAGGGUAUGUCUGUGUUUGGAUAGGGUGUGAGCCUGUGACAUGGCCCAGGAACUAAGUAUUUAUGAUUACAAAAGACUCGCCAGGCUCCCCAGGCAAUCCAAUCAAGUAACCUGCCAGACAGGAGAUAAACAACGACAGGAGAAAAACAACAUUCAAAUUUCUGUUUUAGACCACCUUUUCUGUGAUGUAGGUAUGAUGUAUCUGAGGGGUGGUCUUAGGUUACACCCCUUCUGUGAUUUAUGUAUGAUGUUUCUGGGGGUGGUCUUGAUCUACAGGGUGGCAAUUUCAAAAGUCUUUAUAAGGCCUUGCACGCCAUUGUUCUAGGUUCCUCCUCCUCUCCUGCGGGUGAGGGGAGCACCCUGUUGCAACAGAUCAAUAAAGCUCAAGCUUACUAGCUGCUUUGCUUCUCAAUAUUCUCUGGUUGGCCUCUGUUAUUUUCUCCUACCAAUAGGGAACCUACGUAAGGACUCUAUAUGGGCUCUUGGAUACCCCAUAAGGGAAAGGGGCAAUUUUUGUUUACAGCAGAGACCACUGGUGAGAUGAUUUGUAGACAAAGACAGGUCAGGCACAAACACUCCCCACCAACUUCGAGAGCGAGGUAAACAUGACAAAAACCCGGCGUCCUUCCCUCUUGAAUUUCUCCAAACAUUUCCCUCCCCUUUCAUUAUUUUCAAAUGGAGUUUCUUUUCUCAUUAAUUGAUGGAGAAUGGUUGAGGCCGUGGUGAAGGGUGGGCCUGGCAGAAAUCUCCAGCACAGCAUUAGUUUGAAUAGGAUGAAAUCCUUUUCAGUUCAGAGCUGCGAGAGGUUAGGCUUAUGUUUUAUCCCCUUCACAAACCACUUCAUUUCCCCUCAUGCCUUUCUAGAUAGUUAGUACUGGAGGCAGCACUUUUUUUUCAUUUUCCGAAUUAUCUGACAUUCUUUAGGAGUUGCCGUGCACCCUCAUCCUCCCAUUGCUGGCGCUCCUAUGAGGAAUUUUUAACCAGGUGGGCAACGACAAAUGAUGUGGCAGUCUUGCUAUUGUCUCCACCCUGCCCCUGGCAGGUGGUAGGAUACAACUUUCAUCUCUCCUAUUAGAAACCGACUCAUGCAGUGGUUUGCUGGUGGGCUAUUCAUUUGUUCCACUCGUUGCCACUGUGGUCCCAGCUGCACUAUGCAUUUGAGGCAGUAUCAUACCUCAGAAAUGGUUUCCUCACAAAAUAAUCCUGAUUUGAUAGGGCUGCUAAGAAUUCUUCACAGGCCAUGAUUCCUCUCAGAGCUACAGUUAGCCAGAGUCCCCUGGGAAGAGGAAUUUAUUGUUAAACAACUCUGAGAACCAUAUCUCUGGGGGGCGGGGGGGUGGGAGAUAACAGGGAUCUCCUAACAACUCAUUGCACCCUUAACAAACUACAGCUCUCAGGAUUCUUCAGGGGAAACCAUUUUGGCUUAAAGUGGUAUCAUACUGCUUUAAAUGUACAGUCAUACCUCGGGUUACAGACGCUUCAGGUUGUGUUUUUUUGGGUUACGGACCCUCCAAAACCCAGAAGUACCUGAACGGGUUACUAUCGGGUUUGGGGGGUCACGCAUGCACAGAAGUGCUAAAUCGCACUUUGCGCAUGUGCAGAAGCACCAAAUCGCAACCCGCGCGUGCGCAGAUGCGCCUCUGCGGGUUGCGAACGCUGCAGGUUGCGAACGUGCAUCCCGCACAGAUCACAUUCGCAACCCGAGCGUCCACUGUACAGUGCAUAUGUAGUGACAUUGGGGUAGAAGAGAUGUUUUCUUCAUUUUGAUAUUCUCUUCAUUUUCAGUACUAAAAACAUUUCUUUCCUUUACUCUUCCUUUAAGAUCAAAGCAGUGUUAUACCCAAGUUAGAUGCUGCACCACUGAGCCAUGGCCCAGGGCGGAGGGGAGAGAGGCAGAGUCAAAUAUUUCCAAUUAUGAACGAAAUAGCAUUUCUUAUCUCCAGCUCUACAUGUGUUUUCUCCUUAUAAGAUAAGGGGGAGGGGAAAUAAAUAAAGGGGAAGCAAAAAUAAGAAUUGUGUAGUAUCCAUCCUACUGAGUGGGCAAAAGUCAGGCAAAUGCUUAUCAUUUUUAUUAUUAUUACAACUUGCAAAAGAUAAAAUAUUCAGUUUCUACACACACACAGGGUUAGUCGCCCCCCCCCCCGAACAAUGUGCAAAUUCACCUGGUGUUGCUUGGCUUCUCUGUAAUUUGCUCAGGUCACACGCAAAGCAUCUAAGCUUAUCUUAGUAAAAAUGUGGGAAACGUUGACUUCCUCAGAUUUAGCAAACAUCUUCAAAGGACAGGGUGAGGGAUGGGGAAAGCGUUUUCAAAGAGCAGAUAGGAAGCUUUUCUAAUCUGGAACAUAUGCUUAACUGCAACUGGAAGUGAAGAGUUUCACAUGAAUAUAUAUAUAACACAUAACUUACUGCAGAUCUAUGAAAACAGCAUGAUUAUCAUGACAUUUACUCCUACUUGAACAAUCUCUGGAAGAGAUACAUGACAGCUUUACCGCAGGAGACUGUCCCUGUUCUCAGACAUACCAAGAAACCAUCAAGGAAGUGAAGCUGCUAGCCCUACACAGCCCCCCCCCCCAAUUGAGCAGUAAAAGAAAAAGUCUUGUGGGACUUCCAAGCUCCACUUAAUCAGAAGAUGCCAUUGUUUUCCAGGUAUCUCAGUGUGAUUUCUCCUGCUCAGAGAAGGUUGGUCCUUCCCCCAUCCAUCUCAGUCCAUCCUCAACUAGUCUCACUUUUUACUUAGAACCAGACCAUGUCUGUCAACACCCUCCCUUCUUAGUCUAAGUGUUGCCCUUGUAGAACUCAGCUGGGGGAGGAUGGGGACAAUUCUAAAAUUAGUGGGCUCUGCCUGUCACUUUCACUGACUCUGCCCACUAUUGCCUGCCCUGCUUUCUACCCUACCAUUCCCAAAGGGCAUUCGGGUACCCCUAGUCCUGCUUUUCCUCCAAGUAACCCAGAUUUGUAUGAGAGAGAUGUAAUCCCAUGUUUACCCUCAAAACAGCUGCUCCCUAACAAGAAGAUCCGGGUGAGGUUGGCAUGAAGUCACUUGGAUGCUCAGAGAUUGGAUCCAUAGUUGUCCAAAUCCAAAACUCUAUCUGCUACAAGAAUUUAUAUGCCACCAUUUAUAUCCCCCCCAGAGGCUUACAUAAAAAGCCAUAAAACUGACCAAAACAUGACAUAUACUGUAAAACAUUGAAGUAUGACUAUAUUGAAACACAGCAAUUAAAUCAAAAUGGAGCACCAAUAUUAAAAAGAAAUCUCAAAUCAUAAGAAAUUAUUCAGGCUCUGUUUAAAAGCCAGUAGAGUGGGGAAUCAAACAUAUCUUUUCGGGAGAGAAUUCCACAAGCACUGAACAGAUCAGGACUUCCUAUUCUGUUAUCUUUUAUGUUGUGAAAUGGCCUGAGAUCUACGAAAGAAGGGUGAUAUACAAAUUUAAUUAAUAAUAAUAAUCCGUGCUGUAAAGCUAACCUGCUCUUCUGACUGCCUAUCAAACCUAGUUAUAACCAAGAAGAAUUUCAUUUUGUUAUUUCAUUUAAUUGUCAUUUUUCUCACAGCUGUGCCAUCACUGUAUCAUCAUGGCUACUAGUUUGGGAUUAUUUUGUGUGUAACCAGGAGCAGAAGCAAACAGGUGGGCGGCUGCAUCUUUCUUCCAUGGUUCAGAUAACUCACAUGGUGCCAUCAGUGUAGGACUUUAGGGCAGACAUCUAGGGACCGCUGAGCUGAAUGAGCAGGAGAGCCUCUAAACACAGCUAGUACUGUGCCAAAGAUUUCUUCAUUUUUUAAAAAAUGAUUCACCACUGGUUAAUGAGAAAACAAACUGCAUUCAAAAAAUCAUUAGAGGGGAGAGAAAACGUUGAUGAAAUUCUCUUGCAUGGGUGUCUUUCAGUGAUCAGUUUACUUUUGAGUUUGCAAAGGGGAGAUGCAAGUGUAAUUUCUUUCAUUCUGGAAAUAAUCUGUCUUGCAGUCCACACUUUGCAGCCCUCCCAGGUGCCCACCAUCCCAGAAAACAGCACAACAUCUUAGUGCAGGAGGUUAGGAAAGUCCUCCAUCAUGCAUUUGACAGUUGGCCGUUGCUUGCUUUUAAGUGAAAUAAAUGCAGGUGAUAGGUAAAAGAAAGCGCAAAGAUCUCAUCAUCAUCAUCAUUUUUUAUUUGUAUGCCGCCUUUCCACAGUUAAAAAAACAAUGCUCAAGGCGGCUUACAGCAUAACAAGAUUUACAUAAUUACAAAGGCAUAAACAAUAAAUAAACCACAUCAAAAAAAAUACACAACCAAAUGGGAAACAAUUUCCACAUAAAUCAAAAUCUAAGACUAAGAAUACACCAUUCAUAUCAGAGUUUAAAAUGACAUAGGUAAAAAAAAACAACCCACCCACCCCCCAGGCACUUGGUAGCCAGUUUUCAACGUUUCAAUUGAAAUUCAAGGGGGAAAUGUUAUGAGGUAACUCCACCCACGUGGAUUUUUUUUCCAGACUUGGAAGCACAGGCAGCCAGGGAGGCUGCAAAGCACUGGACAAAUGUUUACUAUAAAGAGAAGCACACCCACCAGCCUUGGACCCUUUGCAGUGAUAAAGGGAGCUCAAUCCCCCAAACACACUGAAAUUCUAAAGCAGCACCCUGUGAAUGAAGAAGCCACUUUUGUGGGGAAGAAACCAUUUGAAAUGUUUCAGCACCGUGCUGCACCACACGCAGCAUCACUGGCUUGCCACAUUUUGAAGUAAACAAAAUAAUAUACAUUACUAUCUAAAGAAAACCCUCCUCAUAUUAAGUCAAAAUCCACACCAUACAUUUAAAACACUCUUAUACUGCCUUAAACAGUGGUGUGACUUCCUCCCAAAUAAUAAUGGGAACUGCAGUUUAAAAGAUGCUAUCAUCAAUUUCCAGAGUUGUUUAACAACCAAUCCCUCUUUGCAGGGAACUCUGAGAAUUGUAGCUAUGGGAGGAAGAAUAGGUAUCUGCUAAAAACUUUCAGCACGCUUAACAAAUUACAAUCGCCCAGAUUUUGUGGGUGGAGAGCCAUGACUGUUAAAUAUAUAGUGCAGAUGUGCCCUCACAACUUGUGGCUGAAGCUUACACGUUUCCCCUGUGCAAGUUCUUCUGGAAUAGUAAAAGGAGGGGUGCUUUUUCUUUUUAAAAACAGCACUGUGCAAGGGCUUACUCCUGUGCUUCACAAUGUUGUGGCUAACAUACAAAGCUGUUCUUGAUACAAAUUAAAUAUCAACUUAUGGAAACUUUUUUUAAAAACUUCUUGUUUUAUCUCAUUUUCUCCAUCCUUGCCCAUCUUCUCCAAAAAAACAACAACAACCCCUAACUUAUGGAAAUGCACUUCAAUCAAGGCCUGUAUGGAAAUAUAAUCUUCUCAUUAACAGAAUCCACAAAACAGUUGUAGGAUGUACAAGGCAGAAUCAAAAUCGGUAUUACAUAUUCAAGAGGAUGAUUGCUCCCAAAAUAAUCUCAUCCCUUUUAUUAGGCUCUCUGGAGGGAAAUCUUGAUUGCAGGAAAAUUGUUCCUCCCCAGCCUCCCACAAUGAGCAAGUACCACUUCCCAAGGGGAUAAUUAGCACUCCUCCAACAUCAGUCUCCUCCCUCUCUUCCCUCCCACCUUAAACUCCUUGAUGUUUAGAAGUUAAAUCACAACACCAUCAAAACCACUGCAGAUACCGGUGCGAUUCUAGAUGAUCAAUGGUCUAUCUGGUCCUAAAGAAAAACAAACCAUAGUUGCCCACCAUUUCCUGUCUCAUUAUAAAAAGUUCACCCGGAUGAAACACACAAUUAAGAUGUACUAAUUAGCUGACAACGUUCUUUCACACUUUCCUGCCGAAGCAAUUAUUUAAUACUUGAAGUAUUAGAGAACAAGCUACCCAAGCCUGGAGACUCAUGUGGUUCAGGUCUUCCUGAGCUGUACUUCAUGCCUAGGGAAUCACACAAGUUUAUACACGCUCCUACAUAUAUAUAUAUAUAUAUAUAUAUAUAUAUAUAUAUAUAUAUAUUUCUGCACAUAGACGUGUAUCAGAUCGGGAAGAAGGCUAGGCAAAAACAUUCAUCCCUUGCAUGCAGAUUAUCUGUUAGCAGGAAGGCUUUUGUAAUACCAAGAUUCCUCACCUGAAAUCUGAAAUCGCACUUAUUGCUUGUAUUAAGAACAUCAUAAGAACCUGGCUGCUAGAUCAAGUCAAAGGCACUAACUUUAACAUCCUGUAGACAACAGUGGUUUUAAUUAUCAGGCCUUUGAUGGGCUUUAACAUAGAACGUUUUUAAAUUGCUGGGUUAUUGCUUGUUUGUUUACUACUGAUUAAUUUGGGAUCCAUUUUGUUUUGUUUUAAGCCGGGGUAGGCAACCUAAGGCCCGUGGGCCAGUUGUGGCCCAAUCGCCUUCUCAAUCUGGCCGGCAGACGGUCCAGGAAUCAGUGUGUUUUUACAUGAGAAGAAUGUGUCCUUUUAUUUAAAAUGCAUCUCUGGGUUAUUUGUGGGGCCUGCCUGGUGUUUUUACAUGAGUGGAAUUUGUGCUUUUAUUUAAAAUGCAUCUCUGGGUUAUUUGUGGGGCCUGCCUGGUGUUUUUACAUGAGUAGAAUGUGUGCUUUUAUUUAAAAUGCAUCUCAGGGUUAUUUGUGGGGCAUAGGAAUUCAUUCAUUUCUCCCCAAAAAAUAUAGUCCAGCCCUCCACAUGGUCUGAGGGACAGUGGACCGGCCCAUGGCUAAUAAAGGAUGCUGACCCCGGUUUUAAGCUUUUAAUUCUCAUGUCACGCUAUUAAUUUGUCAAUGUUAUUUAUCUACCUUAGAUAUUUCUUCAAACAAAAAGGUGGCUAUGAACAUUUUAAAAAGUUAAUAAGAUCCCAGGCUUUUCUGUUCUCAUUUCAGCCCAAAGAAACAUUUCUGAAUUGUCAUAAUUCAGAUGAAUUGGCCCAUCAGAAACUCAAACCAGGAACGGAACAGGAAUUGCGCGAUCUAGAUAUACUAUAGUCAAUAUGUUGCGUGUUAUCUUUAACAUAUUCCUUGAGAGCCUUUGUAAGUAAUUAUUUUAUCCAUGCCAUGCUGUAUUUUACGCUCGGGUAAAUUUAGAUGAAAUCCCAAAGUUAUAAAGCAUAUUGUAGCAAAGACAUUUAAUAAGGAUUAAUCUGCAUACCUCUCCUUUAUUUUUUUCUUCAUUUGCCAUCAUUAUGACUCUAAUUGUGAUUCCGUUGUAUUGUUAUGCAAAUCAGAGCCAAUCCAGCAUAUGAAAGGCAAUGUUCUAGUGGCUUGACUGUUGCUAAAUAAAGAAGCCAUUUUGAGACAGCUUCACACACAAUCCUAUGAAAAGCCCCUCAGUUGUGGAUGCUGUGUUGAAACCAUGAUACAAUCUGAAGCCUUGCUCUGUAUCUCCCUCACUUUACUGAAAUGAGAACCAACUUCCUAAAUGAGAGUAAUUAAUCAAUCACAUGGUUCCUAGAACUGUUAGCAUAUUCAAGGGCAUGUAAUCAUCUCUCUGUUUAGUGAAACUUUAAUAGCCCAGGGAUCCAGAAGUGAUUAUACUACAACUUUCAUCAACCCUGACCAUUGACGAUGCUAACUGGGGCUGAUGGGAGUUGUAGUCUACAACAUCUUGGUCAGGUGGCUACUUGCAUAACAGAAGCAAUGGUUGCACAACACUGUGCCUACUUUAUCAUGUUCUUAAACCAUACACCAGGCUUCCUCAAACUUGGUCCUCCAAAUGUUUUGAGACUACAAUUCCCAUCAUCCCUGACCACUGGUCCUGCUAGCUAGGGAUCAUGGGAGAUGUAGGUCAAAAACAUCUGGAGGGCCAAGUUUGAGGAAGCCUGCCAUACACCCUUAAUAGAGCUCUAUCAGCAGAAGAUUUACCUAUUCACAUCAAUGAAGAACGGCAAUUUUUUAAAGCAUAGUACCAAACAAUCUGAAAAAUGCAGAAGGGAAUUAGCACGUUCAAUACUAAUUUUCUUUCUACUCAUCUUAACUGACUAAGGCUGCAGUCCUAUAGACCCUGGGAUGGCAUCCCUAUAGGGUGUUUUAGGAUCUCCGAGAGAGAGAGAGAGAGAGAGAGAGAGAGAGAGAGAGAGAGAUGCUCCCAGAGAGGAAAGUUGUCUUUAUGAGGGCCCUUCCAUGCUGACCUGCCCAGUUCUUACAAUCUCUUCGUAGUGACACCACCUUCUGUGGUUUGCAGUCAAAUGCUCUACCACUGAGCUAUACCCCCACUUUCUGUGGUUUGAAAGGUGGCAGCAUGUGAAAGGACCUUCUCUGUGGUGGCCCUCAGGUUAUGGAAUGACCUUGCUCCAAAACUGUUUCUUGGCUGCCGCCACUGUAUGCUUUUCAAUAAUUGGUCAAGAUGCACCUCUUUACCCAGACCUUUGCUUGAAUGGGUAUCUCCCCUUCUCUUACAUUGCUGCACACAGCAGUUAUGUGCUACUGUUUUGUUACUCUGAUAUCAGGGGUGUAGGUGUGGGUGUGUUUUUUAAAAAAAUUAAUUGUACAGUGGUACCUCGGGUUACAUACACUUCAGGUUACAUACGCUUCAGGUUACACACUCCGCUAACCCAGAAAUAUUACCUCGGGUUAAGAACUUUGCUUCAGGAUGAGAACAGAAAUCGUGCUUCGAUGGUGCAGCGGCAGCAGGACCCAUUAGCUAAAGUGGUGCUUCAGGUUAAGAACGGUUUCAGGUUAAGAAUGGACCUCCCGAACGAAUUAAGUACUUAACCCGAGGUACCACUGUACAUUGAAUUUCUUACAACUGUGGUAUUUUUUUUUUUAUUUUUUGCAAUUUGCCCAGGGACCAUUUAAUGAAGGGUGAACUAUAAGUACAAAGAACUAAUAAGUAAAUAACUAAAUCAUGGUUGAAAUCAAAAGUACUGGGCAUAAUGUUGAAAAGAAGAAUGAGCUUCUUUUGCGGAAUUAGACGGCAGCAGCCAAAGUGGGGGGAAGAGUACGGUUCCUGCAUUGCUCUCAGUCUGUGACUCAUCUUCUGGGAGUGGGACCAGAUUGUCUUCUUGUUCCACUUGCAUGAGAGGGAAAUGAAUCCCGAGCAAAGUCAACAUGCUGCCAAGAGUGUGUAAAAGAAUGCCAGCAUCUGUGGUCCAUUCUUCUAAAUUGCAGUUGAGUAAGGUGGCUUUUGUUGUUGUUUGUUUAAAAAGGAACAGCCCGCAUCUUUAAAAAAAGAAAGAAAAGCUCUCCGACUUGUAUAAGGUGUUUUGAGGAGCUUAAGGAGACCCGGAGGGGGAAACAGGUUUCAGGGACGUUUACAGGGUUGGACUUGGGUUGUCUUUCAAAAUAUGACACCCUGUGCAAAGCCCAAAUUUGGCACCUCCAAAUGGAUCUUCUCAAUUAUGGAUCUUCUCAAUUUUCCAUCCACUCAGCUCAGUGCUCUGUGCAGGGAACCUCCUGCACCACCCUAAAUCUGACGCUGACAUCUGGGAUUGUGGGUGGAAAAGCAGUGCAUUAUUGCCCUAGAAUAUGCCAGGGACUGGGCAGAGGAGGAAUGGUGGAGACCGCCUCCCCAGCCUGACCCUUCUAGAGAAGAAGAAGACAGUUCAGAAUUACAGCAGGGGGUUGAGGGAGGUCACAGCUCAGAGGAAGAUGAGGGGGAAAGUUGGGAAAUAAUGGGAGAGGAGGAGGAGGAAGAGGAAGCACCAGGGGGUGACAGCUGGCAGACACAGUGUCUUUAGAAAGCAUUCCAGACCCCACCCCUCUCCCAGAACCUGGUGAGCCUUGAAAGUAGGAGAGCAAAUAGCUCAAAGGCAGAGGGCGCUUGUCCACACCCAUAGAGCAGAUGAGAAUGACUAAUGAGGAAGUGGGAGAGACAGGGGGACAGACACUAGGGACAAUGCCAUUAUUCAAAAAGCUGGGUUCUAAAGCCUCUCUCUGUAAAUACUGAAUAAAAAGCGGACGUUAAGAAGCAUUUCCUUGUCUUUGUACGUUCCUGGGCAACUGGCUGUGGGAGUUGCUGGCAGCCUCCUGACAGAAUAACAAACCCUGCUAAAUCUGAGCUCAUGAUAUAGAUACAACAAUUCUCAUGCUGGGAUUUCACUUAUGGAAGAGCGGAGUGUACAACUACAUAAAUAAAACCCUCAGAAAUGCCACAUGCAUUUCUCACAUGGGUGAGAGAGAUAUGUUAAACCUUCCCUUCCCUGCUGUAGUCUUGAGGAAAAUCUGUCCCCAGAAGCUGCUGUAGUGGAAGAAAGUCUCCCACUGACAGAAAUGGGAGAUUUCCCUCCCAAGGCUAAUACCACCUUCAGAGAAGGGAUCUAUUCAUUAGGAACAUAGCAAGGUAAUAAAGGGUUAAAUUAAAUUCAGAUAAUUAUCACAUUGUGUUUUUAAUAGUCUGUUAGGAGCUGCCCACAGUGGCUGGGCAACCCAGUCAGAUGGACGACAUAUAAAUAAAUUUAUUAUUAUUAUUAUUAUUAUUAUUAUUAUUAUUAUUAUUACAUGUCCAGGUUCAAUCCCCAUAUGGGACAACUGCAUAUUCCUGCAUUGCAGGGGGUUGGAUUAGACAACCCUCAUGGUCCCUUCGAACUUUACAAUUCUAUGAAUCUAUGUGCGUGCACACACACACACAGCUGAUGCAAUUUGCAUUUAAAGAAGAACCUGUGCAUUAAAUGCAAAUAUACUUCUACUUUAACUUCUGUUUUGUCAGUCUAUUAGACCAGGGGUUCCUGCUAAAGAGUUGACUGGAAUAUGUGCACCAUUUCUUCAGUGAAAGGGUCACUUGAGUAUCCCACAUUAUUAACAAACUUCACGCUCAUCCAUGUGCAUUAUUUCAAAGCGAUUUAUUUCUUAUUUGGCCUGUCUUCAUUAAGAUAAAUAAGCCAUGCUUGACAAAUGGUAUCAUCAACCUAACCUGAAUAUUAUUGUUUAAAGAUGCUAAUGAAGGUACCUUUUUUUCAAAAAGAAAAGAAAAGUAGUAGACCUGAAAGUUUCCCCGUUCAAACAAAUGAGUCAAUGUAUGCAGAAGAGGCUGUGCGGUAUGUUGUUUUUAUUAAUGCUUUGGGAAACUCUGCACUAAUAAGGCCUUUUGUUACAAAUAAACAGGCUAUUAAGUAACAACUGGGGUGGCGAAGCUCACUGUUCGUUUUAGCUCUUCUGUUUGUGGAUGCAGUGAAAUUAUCAGGCAGUGCUUAUUAUGGCUGACAAUUGCCAGGACUAAAUUGUAGAUGAUUUCUCCCUCUCUCUCUCUCUCUCUCUCUCUCUCUGCUUUUCUGGCUGCUUUGACAUCCCUGAGCCAGGAUGACUCCUCCUUAGAUGAAAACCCUAAUGAUGAUUCCCCAAUGACAGAAAUGACCAAGACUUUAUGGGGCCUCCUGAUUCCAGCACUAUGCCAGGCAUAGCCAGCAUCUCCAGAGAAGUGACAGCAGGCCCAUCCGCAGCAGGAGACCCAUGGAGGAGGAUCCUGAGUGGACCACAGUGGCUCUCGCACCUGCAGAACAGAUGGAGGAGGUUGACUCCUCAGGGAAUGCCCGGGUCAGAAGACUUCGUAUGUCUCAAGGUCCAGAAGAACCAGGCUCUUUGGGAAUAAGAGGCCUCUUCAGAAUGAAGAAACCUUGAAGGCUGAAUCCAGGCAACCAGGUUGCAUAAGCUCCUCUCAGCUAGCUGAAGAGUAUAAGAGUAUAAGCCCAGGUCUUUAACAACCCAGUUUAUUCUUCUGGCUACCUCCCCUGACUGAUCCUGUGCUACUGACCCCUGCUAAUAUUUUGCUUUUGAAAACCUACCUAGUUCUACAUUGCUUCAUGUGCAAUGUCACACUUCCCCUUAUGACCUCACCUACCUUUGGACCUAAGCUGCUCCUUAGGACCCUGUAUUUCUAGGUUGUCCUAAUAGCUGACUGCAACCUUUAUCCACUGGUGUUUAGGCACCCUGUCCUGGGGCUCUCAUUUCUCCUUUGGCUUUGCUCAGGGACGAAGCAGAGUAGAAAUCCGUAAUUGAGCACAGAAGCAACAACAGCAUAUGCAGUGAUAUGGUGGUGAAUUUCGAAGUGCCAAAGCUCACCAUGACAGCCAUCCUAAGCAUCCCCCCACAAAGUGAGUCCCAUAGCUAUGCUCUCAUGGAGAAUCCAAAAAUGCAAGCCACUGUGUUGGUCCAUUAUUAUUAUCACACGCCAAAGAGCAGCAGUACAAAGUACAACACCC